AGUGAACGCUGGCGGCAUGCCUAACACAUGCAAGUCGAACGGUAACAGGCCCGCAAGGGUGCUGACGAGUGGCGGACGGGUGAGGAAUACAUCGGAAUUUGCCCAGUCGUGGGGGAUAACGUAGGGAAACUUACGCUAAUACCGCAUACGACCUAACGGUGAAAGACGGGGGAGUCGCAAGACCUCGCGCGGAUGGAUAAGCCGAUGUCGGA
rnacentral:rRNA from 1 species